UCCCAUAUAGUCUAGCGGUUAGGAUUUCUGGUUUUCACCAUGACGGCCCGGGUUGGACUCCCGGUAUGGGAA
rfam:Nematostella vectensis strain CH2 x CH6 NEMVEscaffold_224_Cont19619, whole genome shotgun sequence.